CAGUAGCCGCGGUAAUACGUAGGUCCCGAGCGUUGUCCGGAUUUAUUGGGCGUAAGGGGAGCGCAGGCGGUUUAGUAAGUCUGAAGUUAAAGGCAUUGGCUCAACCAAUGUAUGCUUUGGAAACUGUUAGACUUGAGUGCAGAAGGGGAGAGUGGAAUUCCAUGUGUAGCGGUGAAAUGCGUAGAUAUAUGGAGGAACACCGGUGGCGAAAGCGGCUCUCUGGUCUGUCACUGACGCUGAGGCUCGAAAGCGUGGGUAGCGAACAGGAUUAGAUACCCCAGUAGUCCCUGUCUCUUAUACC
rnacentral:rRNA from 1 species